rnacentral:tRNA from 1 species
GCCGCCUUAGCUCAGUCGGUAGAGCAACGCACUCGUAAUGCGUAGGUCAUCGGUUCGAUUCCGAUAGGCGGCU